rnacentral:tRNA from 2 species
GCCCCCGUGGCGGAAUUGGUAGACGCGACGGAUUCAAAAUCCGUUUCCCUAACCGGAGUGUCCGUUCGAGUCGGACCGGGGGCACCA